UACGUAGGGGCAAGCGUUGUCCGGAAUCAUUGGGCGUAAAGCGCGUGUAGGCGGCUCGAUAAGUCUGCUGUGAAAGUCCAGGGCUCAACCCUGGGAUGCCGGUGGAUACUGUCGAGCUCGAGUCCGGAAGAGGCGAGUGGAAUUCCUGGUGUAGCGGUGAAAAUGCGUAGAUAUCGGGAGGAACACCAGUGGCGAAGGCGACUACCUGGCCUGUUCUGACGCUGAGGCGCGAAAGCUAGGGAGCAACGGG
rnacentral:rRNA from 1 species